CCUACGGGGCGCAGCAGUGGGGGAUAUUGCACAAUGGGGGAAACCCUGAUGCAGCGACGCCGCGUGAGUGAAGAAGUAAUUCGUUACGUAAAGCUCUAUCAGCAGGGAAGAAAAUGACGGUACCUGACUAAGAAGCCCCGGCUAACUACGUGCCAGCAGCCGCGGUAAUACGUAGGGGGCAAGCGUUAUCCGGAUUUACUGGGUGUAAAGGGAGCGUAGACGGCCAUUCAAGCCAGAUGUGAAAGCCCGGGGCUCAACCCCGGGACUGCAUUUGGAACUGUGUGGCUAGAGUGUCGGAGAGGCAG
rnacentral:rRNA from 1 species